AUUGAACGCUGGCGGCAUGCCUUACACAUGCAAGUCGAACGGCAGCACGGACUUCGGUCUGGUGGCGAGUGGCGAACGGGUGAGUAAAGCAUCGGAACGUACCCGAUCGUGGGGGAUAACGCAGCGAAAGCUGCGCUAAUACCGCAUAAGAUCUACGGAUGAAAGCGGGGGACUCGCAAGAGCCUCGCGCGAACGGAGCGGCCGAUGUCAGAUUAGGUAGUUGGUGGGGUAAAGGCCCACCAAGCCGACGAUCUGUAGCUGGUCUGAGAGGACGACCAGCCACACUGGGACUGAGACACGGCCCAGACUCCUACGGGAGGCAGCAGUGGGGAAUUUUGGACAAUGGGCGCAAGCCUGAUCCAGCCAUGCCGCGUGCAGGAAGAAGGCCUUCGGGUUGUAAACUGCUUUUGUACGGAACGAAAAAGCCCUGGCCAAUACCCGGGGCUAAUGACGGUACCGUAAGAAUAAGCACCGGCUAACUACGUGCCAGCAGCCGCGGUAAUACGUAGGGUGCAAGCGUUAAUCGGAAUUACUGGGCGUAAAGCGUGCGCAGGCGGUUU
rnacentral:rRNA from 1 species